rnacentral:rRNA from 1 species
AUACGGAGGGUGCGAGCGUUAAUCGGAAUUACUGGGCGUAAAGCGUACGUAGGCGGUUGGUUAAGUUAGAUGUGAAAGCCCCGGGCUUAACCUGGGAACUGCAUUUAAAACUGGCGAACUAGAGUUGAGUAGAGGAGAGUGGAAUUUCAGGUGUAGCGGUGAAAUGCGUAGAGAUCUGAAGGAACACCAGUGGCGAAGGCGACUCCCUGGACUCGAACUGACGCUGAGGUACGAAAGCGUGGGUAGCGAACAGGAUUAGAUACCCUAGUAGUCC